CGGGAUAGCUCAGUUGGUAGAGCAGAGGACUGAAAAUCCUCGU
rnacentral:tRNA from 1 species